CCCGGGCCUUGUACACACCGCCCGUCACACCAUGGAGUGGGUUGUACCAGAAGUAGGUAGAAUAACCGCAAGGGGUUCGUUUACCACGGUAUGAUUCAUGACUGGGGUG
rnacentral:rRNA from 1 species